rnacentral:rRNA from 1 species
GACGAACGCUGGCGGCGUGCUUAACACAUGCAAGUCGAACGAAGAGCGACGGAAGCUUGCUUCUAUCAAUCUUAGUGGCGAACGGGUGAGUAACGCGUAAUCAACCUGCCCUUCAGAGGGGGACAACAGUUGGAAACGACUGCUAAUACCGCAUACGAUCUAAUCUCGGCAUCGAGGAUGGAUGAAAGGUGGCCUCUACAUGUAAGCUAUCACUGAAGGAGGGGAUUGCGUCUGAUUAGCUAGUUGGAGGGGUAACGGCCCACCGAGGCGAUGAUCAGUAGCCGGUCUGAGAGGAUGAACGGCCACAUUGGGACUGAGACACGGCCCAGACUCCUACGGGAGGCAGCAGUGGGGAAUCUUCCGCAAUGGACGAAAGUCUGACGGAGCAACGCCGCGUGAGUGAUGACGGCCUUCGGGUUGUAAAGCUCUGUUAAUCGGGACGAAAGGCCUUCUUGCGAAUAGUGAGAAGGAUUGACGGUACCGGAAUAGAAAGCCACGGCUAACUACGUG